rnacentral:rRNA from 1 species
AACACGUAAACAACCUGCCUUCAGGAUGGGGACAACAGACGGAAACGACUGCUAAUACCGAAUACGUUCCUUAGGUCGCAUGACUUUAGGAAGAAAGGGUGGCCUCUACUUGUAAGCUAUCGCCUGAAGAGGGGUUUGCGUCUGAUUAGGUAGUUGGUGAGGUAACGGCCCACCAAGCCGACGAUCAGUAGCCGGUCUGAGAGGAUGAACGGCCACACUGGAACUGAGACACGGUCCAGACUCUUACGGGAGGCAGCAGUGGGGAAUCUUCCGCAAUGGGCGAAAAGCCUGACGGAGCAACGCCGCGUGAGUGAUGACGGCCUUCGGGUUGUAAAGCUCUGUGAUCGGGGACGAACGGUCGGCAGACCAAUACUCUGCUGAAGUGACGGUACCCGAAUAGCAAGCCACGGCUAACUACGUGCCAGCAGCCGCGGUAAUACGUAGGUGGCAAGCGUUGUCCGGAAUUAUUGGGCGUAAAGCGCGCGCAGGUGGCUUCUUAAGUCCAUCUUAAAAGUGCGGGGCUUAACCCCGGGAUGGGAUGGAAACUGAGAGGCUGGAGUAUCGGAGAGGAAAGUGGAAUUCCUAGUGUAGCGGUGAAAUGCGUAGAGAUUAGGAAGAACACCGGUGGCGAAGGCGACUUUCUGGACGACAACUGACGCUGAGGCGCGAAAGCGUGGGGAGCAAACAGGAUUAGAUACCCUGGUAGUCCACCCCGU